rnacentral:rRNA from 1 species
UACGUGUGAGGCAAGCGUUAUUCGUCUUUAAUGGGUUUAAAGGGUGCGUAGGUGGAUUAGUAAGUCAGUGGUGAAAUCUCCGGGCUUAACCCGGAAACUGCCAUUGAUACUAUUAGUCUUGAAUACCGUGGAGGUCAGCGGAAUAUGUCAUGUAGCGGUGAAAUGCUUAGAUAUGACAUAGAACACCGAUAGCGAAGGCAGCUUGCUACACAAUUAUUGACACUGAGGCACGAAAGCGUGGGGAUCAAACAGG